AGGUACCGCGCAGACUGAGAAACAGUGU
rnacentral:piRNA from 1 species